GGGCCUCCUCCCUCCCUCCCAUCUCCUCCUUUCCUCAGACGGGCCUUUCCGUCGGUUAACCUUUCUCUUCUCCUCAGGGGGAGGUUUCUAUUUAUAUAUAUGUGUGUGUCAAGAUUUACCCGUGUGUUUCUCUCCCAGCUCGGGUUCCUGCAGCACGGAGGCGGUUUUCCUUCAGCCCGUUUGGUCAGACGUGUGAUCUCUUUGCAGCCAAGGUGCUAUCUCAGACCAGCUGUGGGGGCUGCAGGUACGCAAAGACAGCACCAUGAUUGCAUGCUGCAGCUCUCUGGAGCGCUGCCACACAGACGUGAGGAUCCAGGACUGCCACUUCACUUCGUGUUCACAUCUUCUGAAGCUGCUGAAUACCAGCUGUUGCACAUCUGAAAAACUCCAGUUUUGAGGAUUAGUUUGCAGACAGUUCAGCAGCUGAUAAGCGACCCGUUUCAUUUCUUCCAUGCCCUGUUCUCUGAUAAAACAGAACAGGAACCUGGCAAACUGUAUGUUUGGGGAGGGAGUGGGUGGCAUUAUUGUUAUUUUUAAGCCUGAAGCUUGUUUAGAUUCGAAUGGAUGCUGCCUUGUGGGUAUAAAUAGUCAGGAAAACCCUUUUAGGAGAAUUGCAACCACGCACUGUGCAUUGAGCUGAAGGCCUUACAGAGCACAACUUGCUGUAGUUGUAUAGGAGUGCUUUAGUCGACCUGAACAGAAACCAUCUACUCACUCCUUCCCCAGGGGUUCUGGCAUGCAGACAUCUGAGUAGAGCCUAUGUUUUAUGGCAACAGAAGGAAAGUCAAGCCAGUUUGGCCUGCAUUUGUUUUGUUGUUUGGUUUUUUUUUAAUUGUAACGGAAAAAGGAUCCAGUCUGAGUCUGAAAGCAGAAGUUUUACACUUAGUUACAGCUGAAUAUAGCCACACUUCCUGCUUUCCUCUCUCCCCUCCUCCCUGCCUCCCCUGGGUCUCAUAGCAUAAUCUACUUAUUAAAUAGUUGCAAUAAAAGUACAUUUUGCCCUAGCAGGACCAAAGCCUAUUGGUAGGGAAGAUAUUUUUAUGCCAUCCUUGUCCUGUUCCUGCCAAAAUGAGGGUGUUUUUUGGACUCUUGUCUGCUUUUGGAUUUGUGAUCUGUUCCUUUAAUACAUUCCUUCCAGUCUAGGCAGUGUUCCCCAACUGCCUGGCACUGAUGUUAAUGCCUUGCUUCCUAAUCAAUCAAGUCCACUCCAUGCUUCCUUAAAGGAAAACUUUGCUCAUGUUGUUCAGCCCAGUGACACAAACUUCCACAGGUGUAAGAAAUGUUUGUCACUGGCAAAUGGCACCAAUGUGGGAUGUGAAGGCCAAACUUUAAUCCUGUUUGGCACUUGUGAGCCUCUGGGCAGUUCUUUCCUUAAAAGUGACUAUGGUACAGUGGGCAACCAGCAGAGAUUUAGUAGCUCAGUUUCCAGCUGUCCUAAAUAAUUUGAUUAUAGCAAGAACUUUGAGGAUAUUAACAAGGGGUCAUAUGUGUGUAUGGGGGGGCAGAAUUUGUUUUCACUUUCUCCACUAAUGAAUGCAAACUGCCUAUGCAAAAUGGAUGGGGAAUGUAACUGGAGAAAGAGUGUCUCAAGAUGGAAUCAGUCACUUCUAUCUGUUUUUAUGUUAAGGUUCACUGUCCUUUGUGUUUCUAGAUCUAUAUCUAGAAAACAAUAUAGUGUCAAAUAAGUAAAGAUUGGGGUGAGCAGUGUUACUGCUUUUGGGGGCUUGUGUCCUAUUUGAAGUGCAGUGCAGCAAAAUGGCUGUUCCUAGGGUAAGGUUUAUGUGCCAGCUGGAACUGCUGACUUCCUUUAAAACUCCUGGUUUUGUAAUUAUUCAUGGCAAAAAAAACCUGUUUCUUCCCAUAUGAACUCCUGGCUUACUGAGCUAUGAGGUGAGCCAAGUAGGUUAUUUUCUUCAGUGUCUGCAUUUUUUCCUAAUUACUUUGUGCCAGUUGUUACCACGCAGUUUUCUUUACCUG